AUUUUGAAUAUUCAUGACGCUCUUAAAACACGAAAUUAACAUCCGAUUCCAUUCAGACUUAGCACGUCUCAAUAUUUCCGUGAACACGAGAUCUUUUAUAAGGAUGGUAGAGAUCGGACCAUUGCUUCUGGUACCUUCCCCACAAAGGGUCAAAGGAUGGAGUAACCAAAACGAUCAUAAAAUCUGAAACAAGCAUCCGGUUCUCUUGAAAUUACACAUAUCACAAAGUUUUUAUUGACCCAAGGUCUGGUAUGAAGAUCGGAUGUAUCCUCCUUCAAGAGCCUCCCCCACAAAGGGUCAAAAUGUUGAGUGUCCACGAAUGUAGUCAUUUCAAAUAAGCAUAUCCAUCUCUGCAUUUUGUCAAAUAAGUAAUUUAAAAAAAAAACAUGUGAUUGCAUGGCUUUACCUUCCCAAUUCUAUCAUGAAACAUUCGUAGAAAAACGUGUUUAUUCUUGUUAUCAUUUAACCUUUUUGGAAAUAUUCCUAUUGAAACCACAAACAUUUAAAUUGUUCACAAGAACAAUAGCAUCAUUAAAUGAAUUAAUUACGAUUUUCAAUUAUCAUAUCAUUCAGACCACAUUCUACAAAUCAUUCAAACGAAAAAAAAAAUCCCCCAAAUUUAAGUACCUAAUUAUUUAGAAAUUUCCAUAUGUCAAAAUACGUCAUUAAUACUUUGAACCCAAUUCAGUUUUUAUUAGCAAAACAAUAGAAUUAUAAUAUUAACCACAAUUAUUGAUAUCAUGUUUGUUGUUGCUGGUUGUACGCUGUCGUAUAUCCACACAGUACAGUGACAGUAAGGUACAAAACAUUAUUGUAAACUAGUUACACGACAGCUAUGGCUAAAUAACAAAAACAAAAACCAGUUUAAAUAAGGCUAAAAAUAAAAUAUAAUUGCGAAAAGACAAAAAAGAUUAAUACAAUAUAUUAAAUUUAAAACAUUAACAGAAAACAAUAACAACGGUAGCUAACAGCAACCGGACAGUGAUUUAAAGUGGGAAAACAACAGACACAGAUGACAAUCUUUGUGUGCCGGUUGGCUGGUUACCCCACAUUGUCAUCAUCUAUUACCCACCAGAGUAACCACACUUGACUUUGCCAUUGUUAUUAUUUUUAUAUUCUUUUAAAAGAGAGCAGAAAACUAAUAUAAAAACAAAAUGCAACACCAUCACCACAAGAUAACCUAGCACCACACACACCUAAACAACCACCCAUGAUUGUUUACCCCAAACCCAUAGUCAAAGCCGAAGUAAUUACCGAUGCCGCCGCCCAAGUGGCUGGCAUGUCAAAGACUUUGUUGUUAAACUCUCUCGUGUCUCAAUGAAUCUAUCAACACAACACGGCUUGAUUUUUUUUAAUCUAUUCAUGUCGCAUGUGCAACAAAAAUAAGCAUGACAACUGCAACAACACCAACAGCAAAGGCAGCAAAGAAGAAAACUACAUUAAUAUACAGGCCGCUGCACAGACUCGUUGCCGUGAUCCACUACACAAGUGUCCAAGCUCAUAAAACGAGAUAUGUGUUUAUGCCACCAUGAAGUUGGUAAUUGUUAAGAAGAAAAACGAAACACAAUAAAAGGAACAGCAAGUAAACACAUACAAAAAACGAUUUGGUGCUCGUGCUUUUAAAAUCGAGUUUCAAGCUCACCUUGCCUUUAUUUUAGAUUUAACACAAGCAAGAUAUGUAACAUUUAACACUGAGCUGCAAAAGUUUGAUUCAUGGAA